GGGUUUGGGUUUAGGGGGUAGGGUUGGGAAUAGGCAAAGGGAAGGGUUUGGGGUAAGGGUUUGGGUUUAGGGGGUAGGGUUGGGAAUAGGCAAAGGGACGAGUUUAGGGUAAGGGUUUGGGUUUAGGGGGUGGGUUUGGGAAUAGAAAAAGGGAAGGGUUUAGGGGGUAGGGUUGGGAAUAGGCAAAGGGACGGGUUUAGGGUAAGGGUUUGGGUUUAGGGGGUAGGUUUGGGAAUAGAAAAAGGGAAGGGUUUAGGAUAAGGGUUUGGGUUUGGGGGGGGACACAUGGAUACUGAGAAGGUGUGUAGGACAGAGUCAGGUUAUAGGCUACAGGUUAUAGGCUUC
ensembl:lncRNA